rnacentral:lncRNA from 1 species
AGAAACUCAAAUAAGAUUCAUAGAUAAUUUGAUCAUAAAUCCACAAUUCAUCGGAUCUCGACAAACACACCGCAAAAGAGGAUUACAUCGGAUAGAUCUCCAUGAAGAUCAUGAAGAACUUUGUAUUGAAGAUCCAAGAGAGAUUAGAAGCCAUCUAGCUACUAGCUAUGGACCUGAAGGUCUGUGGUGAACUACUCACGCAUCAUCGGAGAGGCAAUGGUGUUGAUGAAGAAGCCCUCCGUGUCUGAAUUCCCCCCUCCGGCAGGGCACCAGAACGUGCCCCAGAUGGGAUCUUGGGGAGAUAGAAGCUUGCGGCGGCGGAAAAGUAUUUUCGUGGCUCUCUCCCAUAGUUUCAGAUUUUUCGGGGAUUUAUAGGCGGAAGAAGUAGGGCAAAGGAGCCACGGGGGGCCCACAAGCCUGCUAGGAGCGCCCCCCAGGCCGCAGCUAGGGGGCUUGUGGCCUCCCCUGGUGCCCUUUGCCUUGGUUCUCAAGCUUCCUGCGUAUCUUACGUUCCGGAAAAAAUCUUUUCGGAGGUUUUAUUCCGUUUGGACUCUGUUUGGUAUUCUCCUCUGAAAAGGUCAAAAAUACGGAAAAAUAAAAACUGGCACUUGGCACUAAGUUAAUAAGUUAGUCCCAAAAAAAGAUAUAAAAUGCAUGCAAAACAUCCAAAGUUUGACAAGAUAAUAGCAUGGAACCAUCAAAAAUUAUAGAUACGUUGGAGACGU